AUGACAAAGGGUAAAUAAUAAAAAAUAAACCAGAAGCAAUAAUAAUAAAGAAAAUACAACAAAUAAAAUCUAAUUAAGGUGUGAAAAGAAAAGAAAAGAAAAAAUGUGUGAUUAAAAAUGAUGAAUGAUAAAUAAUAAGAACAAAAAUCCCAAAAAAGUGCAAACCAAACAAACCCACUUGUCUCAAAAUUGAUCAAACCCCUCUCAAAACACAACCCAUGAAUAAAUACCCAUUU
rnacentral:lncRNA from 1 species